GUAUGUCUUAUGUGCUGAGAUUUAGAGGUGAUGGUGCUGCCUUUAAGGAACUCACCGCCUGGUGAGGAGACAGAGGCAUAAAUGAAAAUGUGAUUAGCACUAUAAUAAGUGCAGGUACCUGGUCCUGUGGAAGCAUGGAAAAGGAAACAGCUAACUCCCCUUCAGAAGCUUCUCUUGGUAGAGAUUUCAGUGUAGAGUUCUGAAAGACAAGGAAGAAAUACAAGGCCAACAAGGAUGUGGUGGAGGGGGGAGGGCAUUCCACAAACAGAAGCAAGUGAAGAGGUUAGGAAAGUGUCAAAGUACAUGGUGUGUCCUGGAAACUAGGAGACUAGGUGCGGCUAGACUGCAGGUGAAGUAAGCAAGGCCAAGCCACACAAGGCUCUCUGGGUGUAAGGAGCCAGAACUUGCCUGGAGGUGGCACAGCUAAAGAAGAACACUCUUUCAUGUGAGCAGUUUGGCCCAAGUUCCUGAUAGCUAUGUGCCAGUGAUAUCAUACAGCCUUAAGGCCACACAGACAUAAAGCCUGGUUAUUUUUUUAAAUGUUUUGAAGCUGAAUGGCAUCAGAUGUAGUGGAAAGAACACAGACAUCGGAGCCAGAGGUCUUGGGUACAGUUUCCUGCACUGACAUUUAAUAACUUUGUGACUGUGUGAACUUGGAAAGUUAUUUAAUCUUUCUGAAGUUCAGUUUCCUCAUCUGUAAAAUGGGGAUAAUAAAAUUUCUCUGAUAAGGUUAUUGUUAGGGUUAAACUAUUUUUAAUAUGUAAAGCAUGUGAUAUAUAAUAGGCACUAAACAAUUGCCUAUAUAAUAAUCACCAAUUUUUACUCCCUGGAUUCAAUUUCUGUUCAAAUAAAACAUUGCUUCUCCCUAAUCAGAAAACCGUACUUUGUAAGUGAAAAAAUAAAACAAAAGGAAUCACUUAGACCUUGCUUGUUAGGAUGGCCAAAAUGAUUAAUUUCAGGUUUGACAAAAUGUAACAAAUCAAAAACUCUUUCCUUUACAAAUUUAUUCCAAAAACAACCAGUGAAAAAGACAUUAUUUGCAUUUCACAGAUGAGAAAACGGAGGUUUAUGGCCAUCAGUGGCUGAGCAGGGAUCGGAGUCUCAUUCUGUCAAACUCUAAAGCCUGCGUUCUGAACCAACUCAAGCUGCCCCAGGAUAUUCCUUGGAGCCUCUAUCAACUAAUUUCACAGAUUCUUUUUUUUUCCUUUUUGCUGCUGUCAUGUUAAUGGGCAUUAUUUAAAAAGGGAUCUUACCACAGAAUUUGAUUUGGUGUCUCCUUGUUGACACCAUAUAAGAGCAAAUCUAACCACAUGUAGUGUUUUCACAAAAGUGUACCUAUCCAUCAAUUCUAGCCACAAACCUCUAAGGUCAGAAAUCUCAAAGAUUAAGCCAGAGGGAGGUGGAAUAGUCCAAACUGGUUUAGCUGCUUGAGUCUUCUCUUUUAUUUGAAAAUCACUUAAACUCUGUCAUUGACACAGUAUGAGUCCUUUCCUAAAGACAUUUUAAAAACUAACUUCUCUAUGAAAAGCAGUGAAUAGGAGGGCUGACACAAUUUUUAAAACUCUCAACAUGUGCAGCUCAUAAAAAGUAGGCAUAUGAUUAUAUAUACCUUUGAUUCAACCAGUUUCUAUUACAAGUAACCUGUGAACCCUAGAACUUAGUUAUUUUUUUUUUUAAAAAAAAGGAGGGGAAUCUCCACCUUAACCUUUUGGCCAUUUAAUCACUUAUUUAUUGAGUGGUUUCUAAGUGCCUGCUGUUGUCGCUCACUGCUUAUUAGUCCUUGUGAGAGCAAUCUUCAGUAGGAAUUAUUAGAAUUCCCAUUUUGGAGAUGAUGCUACUGAGGCUGUCAGAACUUGUCAUAUUUCUAGCCAAGAAAUUUGAACCCAGGCAGUGCUUUCAGCUAUUAUACUCGCUCCUCCCCUUUUGAAAUGGAUUCAAGGUAGUCACUCACAAAUGUGGAGAAUAAACUGAAGAAAGAAAUAAUAAGCCAAGUCCAGUCAUCUUAACAACCAUUUUUAACUGUUUCCUAGUAGUUUGGCAUAUAAAAAAAUUUCCCUCGAGAAAAUAAAACUUUAGUAGAAUAGCAUUAUUUUAAAAUUAUGUUAAGCUUUUCAGUGUGUGUUAUCAGACUCAAAUGUAUUAAAUUCCUUAUUGGAUUAGACCAGUUAACACUGGAUUUUGUCACAUUUCUACUUUUGAAUACCACAUCUAGGAAAGAAAUGUGUUAAUAUUUACUUCAUUGUGCCAAAUCAGAUUCUAUUGUAAAACUAGAUCAAAAAUGAAUCACUACACUAUAAAAUGCAAAAAUCUGUACGUGGAUUGUAAAGAGAAACAGGGACUGUUCUCAUUUUCUGGCGCAACUUCUCAACCCUCAUUAUGCUCUGUUGUAGAAAAAAUGCAUUAUUUCCGGUCAUUUAAAAGAAGUAGGGCCAUUUUUUCUAGAAAAUAAAUGGUAAUUGAAUCACUGAAAUGAUUUUGGGAAAACAGUUUCCAUACCAAUAGUGUCUAAUGUAACUCUGAAAACUCUUG
rnacentral:lncRNA from 10 species